UUUGAAGUUCUGUGAAUUUGCCAGACACAGCUUGCGUUUGAAUUUAAUUCUAUGCUUAAGGCUUUGUUGAGAUCCUCGAGGGAGGUGCCACAGCGAGGUAAACCUAUUGAAAGAAAAAUAUCUUGCAAGGGUAUCUCUCAAGUUUUCUCUUCCAGCAGUGUUUCAUCCUGCAUAUGCAGAGACUGUGGAACAGUACACCAUGAAACAAACAUAAAAAGUAGCAGAGAAAAUGAAUUUAGGGAACACAAAUCAUAGAUGAAGCUAGUGGGAGACCUGGAAAUUCAAAGUGGUGUAGGACACCUCAGCAAAUCUCUGCUGCAAGGAAAUUCUGAAGUUGGAUUCAUUCGGUAUGGCCUUUGAUUUCUGAAGCUCACCCACACAAUUGCAAGCAAUUUUCAAGYGCUAACCAUCAUUUUGUAUGCCUUAAAUGUGUGAAGGGGUAUAUGAAACACAAUCAAUGCUGUGUGCACGAGGACCAAGAAAAAAUAUGUUCAUGGCUAUUAUGCUCUGGUUAUAAAGUUAUAAUGUACAUAGAGACUGGAAUUUUACCUGCUUGGAAUUACUUGUGUAUGAAUGAUGAGGGUGUUAAAGGCCCCAACCCUUGAGCAUUGGCUCAGCAUUUCUGACAGGCUGAGCCAGGGCUGUGAGAAGCAGAACAGCAGGACUACAAGUAAGACUGAAUUUUGUAUCAUCAAAGUGUGGUUAGGGAAUACUCCAGCUCUUCAGGAGUCCUGGCUAUGUUUUACACCUGUCUGCAAUUACAACCUUGCAGAAUCAGGACUGACCACUGACCUGCUCAGCACCUGGACAGACCAAAUCUAAGACUUAGCCCCUAGCUGUGAUGGAUUUAUUCAAACUUGAGAUGUGAAAUCUGUGUCAUUUUGGUAUUUGAGAAUGACUAAGUUGUUUGUGGGGAAAACGAGUUUCAGGAGGAACCUAAUUCCUUUUUCAGAAGGACUAAGAUCAAAACAGAAAAUUGGUGAAAAGAAGUGGCUUUCUGUCCUGCAUCACACAGCUUCUAGGCAGUAGGCAUCCUAUUCAGGUCGAAGCAGCUCGUGAGGUGUUUGUGUAAUCUGCAUACAACCAUCAAGAUGAAGAUUAGCUUWGAAGAUGUUCUUCACACUUAGGCUAAGUUCACCAGUUCAUCAAAACUGAACAUGUUUAAUUCCCUCACAUAAUUGCAAUGCAUCUGCAUAAUCUUGCAGUUGACUGUCAAGAUACUUUAUUACAAACUGAAGAAAG